GGGGGAGCGCCGGAUCCUGGGCUGUGUCCCCUGUUGCCCGGGGCUCUGGGGCCUGCGCUGCUGGAAUCGAGCUCCCGGCUGCGCAGACCCCU
rnacentral:pre_miRNA from 1 species